UUUUCCCACAUAAAACUAAUUUGGAGCCAAAAAUCCAAAAAAAAAAAUCCCCAAAAUUUCUCUCUGUUGUGUUCUUCCUUCCACCAAUUUUUUUGAGCUGUCUCACGGUUCGAUCCUAGCAAGGCAGCAACGGCGAUAUUUCCAUUUUCUUUUUUAGUUCUUCCCUUCAAUCAAUUGGAGUGUACAAGGGAAUCUGAAAUUAGGGCUGAUUUUCGUCCUUGUUCCUGAAAAUCAUUUUCAUCGAGUAUAUUCCAAUUCAUCUGUAGAUUUCUCAGUGUAAUACUCCUAGCAAGUUUCCCAAGUUGGAUGGAUUCUUUCUUAGGAAGCAGAAAGUUCAUUUGUUAAGGACAGCAGAUUAUGAUUGUGAUUAGGAUAGGUUGUCUAAGUUGGAGGGAGGCAAUGAAACUCUGUGAUGUUGAUUGUGACCUCCACGGCCCGAGAAUUUUAAGCCUCGCCCCACGAUUAAUAUGUUUGUCUUUUGAUUCUGGCAUUGCUCAUUUCGCGGUUAAUGGGGUUUCUGAGGACUGGGAUUUAGUCAAGCAGAUGAAUGACUCUCAUCUUUAUGCUGUUCCUGAGAGUUGUUUUGAGACAGUAUUUUGAGUCUGCAGUUUGCACUUUGCAACCUAUGCAGCUGUUCGGUAGAUUUGUUUACCGUAUUGUGUUCGUGCCUUUGGUGAACUUCUUGGUGUGAUGAAGGUGAUUGGGCCGUUUCCUGAUGGAGUAAUUCUUCACUUUUACUUGGGAUCUGCUGAGAUGGUUCCUGAAUUAGCAGGCUUGGUGCUAAUUGUUCUUUCUCUGGAUACCUUGUGCCAAUGAAAUCACAGAAGUCAAAGAAGGUGUUGCACACUUGCAGUGUCUUCUGACAGGAUCCUAUUCAGACUUGCGAAAGCUGAAUUUGGGUGAUUUGUACUUGGUGGAAGGUGAUCCUAGCUUCAGGCACUAGGAGAGAAUCCAUUUGAGGGAUAACAGUGGCAUGCCAGAAGCUGAGAACGAAUACCAGAAUGGUCAAACGAAUUGUUGAAUCAUCCAGCUAAUAUAAUGUUGACCUGGGUGGCUUCCUUACUUGAGAUAAAGAAGAACUUGUGGAAAUAAGCUACUCAAAUGCGAUUGGAAUGAUCUAACAUACUUACAUACCCCAGCAUUGUGUAGAGAUGUGGGGGAUUGUUUGACACUGCCGAUGCAUCAAGAUUUGGUUUCAUAUCUCACUGCUAGGAAAGAAUCAAGAUAAUUCAGUUCAAAUUUUUGAAGAAUUUUAUUUGGAUGGAAAAAACUAUCAGAUCUAUGGGGAUACCGUGGGAGUUACUUCGAAUGAUGGUGUCUUUGUCGCUUACGAUGAAUGUGCUUUUCCAGUUUGCAAGCCUUGUUAUGAGUAUGAGAGAAAAGAUGGAAACCAGUGUUGCCAGACAAGAUACAAGAGAUAAAAAGGAAAUUUGCCAUCCGAAUCUCCGAUACAACACUCAAUCCACAAAGGUUGUACUACAAGUGUGAUCCUUGCAACAAUCUGAGAUGGUGCAAGGGAGUAGUUGAGCAAGAAAACAGGGGGCAACAGCAUGAAGGACAAUACAGGGGAAGCUUAGACGAAGGAGUUAAAGUACUGAAAACAGGGCAAAAAGUAAGAUGCAAUAGCACUUGAAGCAAAUGAAGAAAAAGCUGAUACUGUAAUGUCAAUACAAGGCAUCUUGCUUUGAUUUUGUAAUGAAGAAAGGCUAAUCCUAUUUAUGUCAUGGUUUGGGAUGGACAGGCAGAACUUAGGACUCAGGAGAGCACGCAAGUACUUUUAGCAAAAAAAAGGCCAGGACUUCAAAGAACUCUUAGCAAAGAAUUUGGGAGACAACCAACAUGUGAAAGAAGUCUGAGGGCAGGGUCUUAUUAUUGGUAUAGAGUUUGAUGUACAAGCUGGCCUGCUGGUUGAUGCUUGUCGAAAUUCAGGAAUGUUAAAUUGUUAAUAUUAACUGCUGGAAAAGGAAUUAGUGAGAUUGGUUCCUCCACUGACCAUAUUAGAACAGGAGCUCGAAACAGGUUCUGAGAUUCUCUUCGAGUGUUUCCUGUCCCUGGGUUGAAGCAGUUGAGUUGAAUUUGUGUACGAUGAGUCGAUGCUUGUCAAAUUUCCUUGUGACAUCAAUAUAUCCAUAGCUCAUAAUUGGCAUCGUAGCUGUAAAUCAGGAAUAAGUUUUCCUACUAGCUUCUCUUUGGAUUAUGCCUUGGGUUUAAUGUACAAAUUGUCAUUUCAAGAUAUCCCACUCGUUAAUCAGAACAUUGAUUUUCUUUGAUGCUUGGAUUCUUUCUAUAAGUAUCUUUCUCCCUUAUUGUUAGGCUUAGUUUGUUAUUUUGAUACCUAUAAAUUGCGUAGCUUUGUAUUGAAUGGAACACACAAUCAACAUUAUUAUUUUCUCUUCUUA